AGCUGCGUGGUGAGCACAGAGCGAACUAUUCUUUCGCCUUUUACUAAAGAAUACCGUGCGCUCGCCACACAAAGCAGCAUACGCUUAUUUUUGGAGGGUGCUCACUCUUGCGAGAG
rnacentral:snRNA from 1 species